UAACCGGGCGUUAAGUUGCAGGGUAUAGACCCGAAACCCGGUGAUCUAGCCAUGGGCAGGUUGAAGGUUGGGUAACACUAACUGGAGGACCGAACCGACUAAUGUUGAAAAAUUAGCGGAUGACCUGUGGCUGGGGGUGAAAGGCCAAUCAAACCGGGAGAUAGCUGGUUCUCCCCGAAAGCUAUUUAGGUAGCGCCUCGUGAAUUCAUCUCCGGGGGUAGAGCACUGUUUCGGCUAGGGGGCCAUCCCGGCUUACCAACCCGAUGCAAACUGCGAAUACCGGAGAAUGUUAUCACGGGAGACACACGGCGGGUGCUAACGUCCGUCGUGAAGAGGGAAACAACCCAGACCGCCAGCUAAGGUCCCAAAGUCAUGGUUAAGUGGGAAACGAUGUGGGAAGGCCCAGACAGCCAGGAUGUUGGCUUAGAAGCAGCCAUCAUUUAAAGAAAGCGUAAUAGCUCACUGGUCGAGUCGGCCUGCGCGGAAGAUGUAACGGGGCUAAACCAUGCACCGAAGCUGCGGCAGCGACGCUUAUGCGUUGUUGGGUAGGGGAGCGUUCU
rnacentral:rRNA from 1 species